rnacentral:tRNA from 1 species
GUAGUGGUGGUUCAGUGGUGGAACUCUCGCCUUCCACGCCGGAGACCCAGGUUUGAUUCCUGGCCAGUGCA